AGAGCAUCCCAGGAAUCAAAGCUGCUGUUCUUGUUUCCCCUGACUGACUUGACCCACACUGCCUUGCCUGCCAAUGAGAAAGCCAUCCCCACCCAGCCUCUCUCGGCGAGCACCUCCCGCGGCUCUCUGGGUGAAGCUGGAGCUGUGGGUGCAGCAUCUCACCUAGGCCCCAGCAGCACCGGUGAGCCAACUCCUCACUGGUGAGUGUGCAGGGCCCCAGCCCCUGCUCCUAAAGCUUUGGUCAGAAGGAAUGUGGGAAAUCGCCUGAUGGAGCCCAGCACCUUACAGAUGAGAGAGGAUGGAGGACCAAGUGUGAGCAAAGUUCAGUGGUGAGUGGACCAAAGAGGGAGGCGGGGCGGCCGAGAGGAGGCAGAGUCCUAACCGCUGCCGUGCAGGCUGGACUGAAGGUGCAGCAACAGAGAUCCAAAAUUGCAAAUGACCAAGACCAACCAAAGGAAACCCAUCUGUCCCGGAUGACACCCUGAGGCAGUUGGCUGAGACACACAUUUUGGCAA